UAGGGAAUCUUCGGCAAUGGACGGAAGUCUGACCGAGCAACGCCGCGUGAGUGAAGAAGGUUUUCGGAUCGUAAAGCUCUGUUGUUAGAGAAGAACGUUGGUAGGAGUGGAAAAUCUACCAAGUGACGGUAACUAACCAGAAAGGGACGGCUAACUACGUGCCAGCAGCCGCGGUAAUACGUAGGUCCCGAGCGUUGUCCGGAUUUAUUGGGCGUAAAGCGAGCGCAGGCGGUUCUUUAAGUCUGAAGUUAAAGGCAGUGGCUUAACCAUUGUACGCUUUGGAAACUGGAUGACUUGAGUGCAGAAGGGGAGAGUGGAAUUCCAUGUGUAGCGGUGAAAUGCGUAGAUAUAUGGAGGAACACCGGUGGCGAAAGCGGCUCUCUGGUCUGUAACUGACGCUGAGGCUCGAAAGCGUGAGGAGCAAACAGG
rnacentral:rRNA from 1 species